rnacentral:rRNA from 1 species
UAGUUUAAUGAAUUAGACCCGAAAACGAAUGAGCUUACCAUGAGCAGGUUGAAAGCAAGGUAACACUUGCCGGAGGACCGAACCAGUUGACGUUGAAAAGUCUUUGGAUGACUUGUGGUAAGGGGUGAAAGGCCAACCAAAUUCGUAGAUAGCUGGUUUUCCGCGAAAACUAUUUAGGUAGUGCGUUGAAUAAAUAGAUGUUUAGAGGUAGAGCACUAAAUGGGCUAGGGGGAAGAGAUUCUUACCAAACCUAAUAAAACUCCGAAUGCUAAACAUUGUUCUUCAGCAGACAGACUGUGGGUGCUAAGGUCCAUGGUCGAGAGGGAAAGAGCCCAGACCACCAGAUAAGGUCCCAAAAUUAUGAUUAAGUGUGAAAGGAUGUGGAAAUUCCUUAACAGCCGGGAGGUUGGCUUAGAAGCAGCCAUCCUUUAAAGAUAGCGUAACAGCUCACCGGUCUAAUAGAGUUUCUGCGCCGAAGAUGUAACGGGGCUAAAAUCAUAUACCGAAUCUGUGGAUUUAUAAUUUUUUCGAAAAUUAUGACUGGUAGCGGAACGUUCUGUAAGCCUGUGAAGGGAUACCUGUGAAGGAUCCUGGAGGUAUCAGAAGUGCGAAUGCUGACAUAAGUAACGAUAAAAGAAGUGAAAAACUUCUUCGCCGAAAAUCCAAGGGUUUCUGCGCAAGGUUAAUCCGCGCAGAGUUAGUCGGCACCUAAGGCGAGGGCGAAAGCCGUAGUCGAUGGAAACAAGGUUAAUAUUCCUUGACCAGAUGGUAGUGACGGAUCUUGUAAGUUGUGAAUUCUUAAUGGAUUGAAUUUGCCGCGAAAAGGUUCCAAGAAAUAGCUCCAUCAUUAGACCGUACCCUAAACCGACACAGGUGGAUUAAUAGAGUAUAUUUAGGCGCUUGAGAGAAUGAUGUUGAAGGAACUCGGCAAAAUGCUUCCGUAACUUCGGAAUAAGGAAGACCUUUAUUUAGGCAACUAAUUAAAGGUGGCACAAGCCAGGGAGAAGCGACUGUUUAUCAAAAACACAGGGCUCUGCUAACACGUAAGUGGAUGUAUAGGGUCUGACGCCUGCCCGGUGCUGGAAGGUUAAUGCGAUGGGUGCAAGCUCAUUUCUGAAGCCCCAGUAAACGGCGGCCGUAACUAUAACGGUCCUAAGGUAGCGAAAUUCCUUGUCGGGUAAGUUCCGACCUGCAUGAAUGGCGUAACGAUUUCUCCGCUGUCUCCAACAUCAACUCAGUGAAAUUGAAUUCUCCGUGAAGAUGCGGAGUUCGCGUAGUUAGACGGAAAGACCCCGUGCACCUUUACUGCAACUUUACAUUGGUGUUAGGAAAAACAUAUUUAGCAUAGGAGGGAGACAUUGAAGCAAAGGCGUCAGCUUUUGUGGAGUCACCAGUGAAAUACCUCUUUUGUUUUUCUUGAUAUCUAACUGAUAGCCGUUAUCCGGCAUCAAGACAUUGUAUGGUGGGUAGUUUGACUGGGGCGGUCGCCUCCCA